AUACGUAGGGGGCGAGCGUUGUCCGGAUUUAUUGGGCGUAAAGGGUGCGUAGGCGGCCUUGUAAGUCAGAUGUGAAAGAUCAUGGCAUAACUGUGGUAAGCAUUUGAAACUGCAGGGCUUGAGUACAGGAGAGGAGAGUGGAAUUCCUAGUGUGGCGGUGAAAUGCGUAGAUAUUAGGAGGAAUACCAGUGGCGAAGGCGACUCUCUGGACUGAUACUGACGCGGAGGCACGAAAGCGUGGGGAGCAAACAGGAUUAGAUACCCUGGUAGUCCACGCUAUAAACGAUGAGUGCUAGGUGUCGGGGGUCAAACCUCGGUGCCGCAGUUAACACAUUAAGCACUCCGCCUGGGGAGUACGCUCGCAAGAGUGAAACUCAAAUGAAUUGACGGGG
rnacentral:rRNA from 1 species